GACGAACGCUGGCGGCGUGCUUAACACAUGCAAGUCGAACGGAAAGGCCCCUUCGGGGUGCUCGAGUGGCGAACGGGUGAGUAACACGUGGGUGAUCUGCCCUGCACUUUGGGAUAAGCCUGGGAAACUGGGUCUAAUACCGAAUACACCCUGCUGGUCGCAUGGCCUGGUGGGGAAAGCUUUGCGGUGUGGGAUGGGCCCGCGGCCUAUCAGCUUGUUGGUGGGGUGAUGGCCUACCAAGGCGACGACGGGUAGCCGGCCUGAGAGGGUGUCCGGCCACACUGGGACUGAGAUACGGCCCAGACUCCUACGGGAGGCAGCAGUGGGGAAUAUUGCACAAUGGGCGCAAGCCUGAUGCAGCGACGCCGCGUGGGGGAUGACGGCCUUCGGUUGUAAACCCCUUUCAGUAUCGACGAAGCCGUGAGGUGACGGUAGGUACAGAAGAAGCACCGGCCAACUACGUGCCAGCAGCCGCGGUAAUACGUAGGGUGCGAGCGUUGUCCGGAAUUACUGGGCGUAAAGAGCUCGUAGGUGGUUUGUCGCGUUGUCCGUGAAAAUCUCACAGCUUAACUGUGGGCGUGCGGGCGAUACGGGCAGACUGGAGUACUGCAGGGGAGACUGGAAUUCCUGGUGUAGCGGUGGAAUGCGCAGAUAUCAGGAGGAACACCGGUGGCGAAGGCGGGUCUCUGGGCAGUAACUGACGCUG
rnacentral:rRNA from 1 species